rnacentral:rRNA from 1 species
CGGAGGGAGCGGCGGACGGGUGAGUAACGCGUGGGGAUCUGCCUCGAAGUGGGGAAUAACCGCUGGAAACGGCGGCUAAUACCGCAUACGCCCUCAGGGGGAAAGCUUUAUGCGCUUCGAGAUGAACCCGCGUCGGAUUAGCUAGUUGGUGAGGUAAAGGCUCACCAAGGCGACGAUCCGUAGCUGGUCUGAGAGGAUGAUCAGCCACACUGGGACUGAGACACGGCCCAGACUCC